rnacentral:rRNA from 1 species
GACAGAGGGGGCAAGCGUUGUCCGGACUGACUGGGCGUAAAGCGCGCGCAGGCGGUCUGAGGCGUCGGUGCUGAAAGUCCACCGCUUAACGGUGGGAAGCGCGCCGAUACGCUCAGACUGGAGGGCGGGCGAGGGUGGUGGAAUUGCCGGUGUAGUGGUGAAAUGCGUAGAGAUCCGGCGGAACACCGGUGGUGAAGGCGGUCUCCUGGUCCGAGGGCCGACGCUGAGGCGCGAGAGCGUGGGGAGCGAACCGG